rnacentral:rRNA from 1 species
CCCGCUGAACUUAAGCAUAUCAAUAAGCGGAGGAAAAGAAACCAACAGGGAUUGCCUCAGUAACGGCGAGUGAAGCGGCGACAGCUCAAAUUUGAAAUCUGGCUUCUCGGAGCCCGAGUUGUAAUUUGUAGAGGAUGUUUCGGGUACCGCUCCGGCUUAAUUUUCUUGGAACAGAAUGUCACAGAGGGUGAGAAUCCCGUCUGGAGCCGCGGUAGGGCCUAUGUGAAACUCCUUCGACGAGUCGAGUUGUUUGGGAAUGCAGCUCAAAAUGGGUGGUAAAUUUCAUCUAAAGCUAAAUAUUGGCCAGAGACCGAUAGCGCACAAGUAGAUUGAUCGAAAGAUGUCAAGCACUUUGAAAAGAGAGUUAAACAGUAUGUGAAAUUGUUGAAAGGGAAGCGCUGGCAGUCAGACUUGCGUGUAGGGGUUCCCCCUCGCUUCUUCUUUGGUUACUCCCCUAUAUCCAGGCCAACAUCGGUUUUGGCGGUCGGUCAAAGGCCUUGGGAAUGUACCUUCCCCCGGGAAGACUUAUAGCCCAGGGUGUCAUGCGGCCUGCCGAGGACCGAGGAACGCGAUUCGGCUCGGAUGUCUGGCGUAAUGGCUUGUCAGCUGACCCGUCUUGAAACAGCGG